AUUGAACGCUGGCGGUAUGCUUAACACAUGCAAGUCGGACGGCAGCAUAGUUUGUAGCAAUACGAACUGAUGGCGAGUGGCGGACGGGUGAGAAACGCGUAGGAAUCUGCCUUAUAGAGGGGGACAACUAGAGGAAACUCUAGCUAAUACCGCAUAAAGUCUAAGGACCAAAAGCUGGGGCAACCUGGCGCUAUAAGAGGAGCCUGCGUCCGAUUAGCUAGUUGGUAGGGUAAGAGCCUACCAAGGCGAUGAUCGGUAGCUGGUCUGAGAGGAUGAUCAGCCACACUGGGACUGAGACACGGCCCAGACUCCUACGGGAUGCAGCAGUGGGGAAUAUUGGACAAUGGGGCAACCCUGAUCCAGCAAUACCGCGUGUGUGAAGAAGGCCUUCGGGUUGUAAAGCACUUUAGUUUGGGAAGAAGGUAAGUUGUUUAAGAGAUGACUUAUUUGACUGUACCAACAGAAUAAGCACCGGCUAACUCUGUGCCAGCCGCCGCAGUAA
rnacentral:rRNA from 1 species